AGUGAACGCUGGCGGUAGGCCUAACACAUGCAAGUCGAACGGCAGCACAGUAAGAGCCUGCUCUUACGGGUGGCGAGUGGCGGACGGGUGAGGAAUACAUCGGAAUCUACUUUUUCGUGGGGGAUAGCGUAGGGAAACUUACGCUAAUACCGCAUACGACCUACGGGUGAAAGCAGGGGAUCUUCGGACCUUGCGCGAUUGAAUGAGCCGAUGUCGGAUUAGCUAGUUGGCGGGGUAAAGGCCCACCAAGGCGACGAUCCGUAGCUGGUCUGAGAGGAUGAUCAGCCACACUGGAACUGAGACACGGUCCAGACUCCUACGGGAGGCAGCAGUGGGGAAUAUUGGACAAUGGGCGCAAGCCUGAUCCAGCCAUACCGCGUGGGUGAAGAAGGCCUUCGGGUUGUAAAGCCCUUUUGUUGGGAAAGAAAAGCAGCAGGUUAAUACCCCGCUGUUCUGACGGUACCCAAAGAAUAAGCACCGGCUAACUUCGUG
rnacentral:rRNA from 1 species